rnacentral:tRNA from 1 species
CAGGGGUUAGUUUAGAUAAAACUACCAAUUUCGACUUGGAAGACCCCGGCUCAACCCGGGGCCCCAAA